UGGGCAACACACGGCUGCUAUGCUCAUUGACAGCUAUCUCAAUCAGCUGUACUUAUUUACUUUUAUUCACUGAUAAAAGUUACUUUUACAUCGAAGUUUUUUUCUAUAAUUUUGUGUUGAAAAGUAUUAACAUACGCUUAGAAUGGAACUCGACCCGGAUAUUGUGAAAGAAUUUGAGAAUCUUGAAGUGGCCACAGAGAAGCCAAGUGAAGAGGAGUUGUGCUCGUUCGACGAAGAGGCGCCGCUCAAGGCAACGCCACAAUUGCAACAUCACACUUAUUCAACGAUACCGAAGUUUUUCCAUGCGCCACCGCCAGCGCACAACACGUUGCGACAAAAUCUCCGCAAAGAAGCGCACUCGCUUUUUCUACAAAAACGUUCACAAGAACUGCUGGAUAAUGACGAACUGGGCGCUUUGUGGACGCUGUUGGAGAAACAUUGCACACAAGUAACGCCGCUGGGACAACAACUUAUCGACUACGAUGAUUACUUAAAGCUGCUAGAAGCCGUGAGUGCAAAAUGUAAAAAAUAUGUAACUGCGCGUCUCUACGCCAAACUGCUGUGCCAUUCCAUGUAUCCAGCGAAUUUUGCAGGCAAAGUAGAGAUCGCAUCUAUCUUCAAUUACACAAUGCGCAAAGUGUGGCUGACGCAGGGGCGUAUCGGUUUGUCGUUUUACGAUGAAAUUGGCCAAGGCUAUCUGCGCGAAAUCGACAUGGAAAACUAUAUCAUCGACAUCAUACCGACGCUAGCGCAGAUAAGCAGUUGCGUGCAACCUUCCUUUCAAAGUUUCUACGUAUGCACGGUGGUGAAAAAGUUUUUCUUCUUCCUGGAUCCCUUACAUACGGGUCGCAUACGCAUACGUGACAUACUGGCAUCUGGUCUGUUGACCGAGCUGCUGGAGUUGCGCGAUGAGGAAGCGCCUAAAGAGACACAAGAACUCAAUUGGUUCUCCAUGCCUUCGGUGCUCACUGUGUAUGGCAAUUAUCUAAAUUUAGAUAAAGAUCACAAUGGCAUGCUGAGUAAGCAAGAAUUGGCCGGCUAUGGGACGGGCACAUUGACUUCGGUUUUCCUUGAUCGCGUGUUCGAUGAGUGUCGCACUUUUGAUGGCGAAAUGGACUACAAAACAUUUCUAGAUUUCGUUUUGGCGCUAGAUAACCGACACGAGCCCCAAUCGCUGCACUAUCUCUUUCGUAUACUGGACGUGCAACAUAAGGGCUACCUAACGGCACAGACAUUGCACUACUUCUUCAAAGGCAUACAAGAGCAAAUAAGUGCCGUCAAUGCGGAGGCAGUGAAUUUUGAAGACUUAAAAGACGAAAUUUUCGACAUGGUCAAGUCGAAGGACCCAUUCAAAAUCACGCUGCAGGAUUUAAUCAAUUGUGGGCAAGCAGAAACUGUUGUCUCCAUCUUAAUAGAAUUUCACAAAUUCUGGGCGUACGAGAAUCGUGAGGAUGGCUCACAUAAUGUUUAAUUUUGCACACGAAAAUUAAAUUGAACGAUAGAAAUUGUAGCCAAGUUAAAGACAGCAGCAUCGAGAUGUGUGCAGGUGUACCGACUGGACUAACAAACUAUAAACGUUUAACAACGCUGCCAUUUUUAUGCUAUUAUGCCAUAAGUACCUAAAAGGGUGAAGAUUGUUCAAAAUGCGACGUUUAAAUUUAAGUACUUUUGUUUACGUUCACACUAACAACAACACACAUUCCAGCUUAGCGAUACGGCAUAAUUAUGUGCACGAGUAUUUAUAAGUAUAGAAGUACGGCUUGUUGAUAUUGCAGAUGCGAUGACGACUGCGUUACAUCUGCUCUGGGCAUAACUAGGCACGCUAGAUUUAAUAUUUCCACUUAAGCGCAUUUAAAAAAGUUGAAAUAAUUAUUGUGUUUUUUUGAUUUUCUAAUUACAAGCUGUCUUAAUUAAUUUUUAAAUUAGUUUACGUAUACGGCAUAUAUACAUAUAUACAUAUAUACAUAAUGUACUUAAUAAUAAAACAAUGCGAGGCUGAUAUGGGUACAUUUAUAAUGAUAGUACAGGCCUGUUUACAUAAGUUAUGGUACGUUAAGAAUUAUAGGCAACUAAAACAUAAGUAUUAAACUUUUAGUGCAAAUUUUCAAAUUAUUGUAAUUAAAUUUUAAACUCGUAUUAAAUUUAAAUUUAAAAGGCCAACUUUGCCAAUUUAAACUCCUUAAUGAAACAUCAUUCAAAGUUCUC